rnacentral:rRNA from 1 species
UACGUAGGGUGCAAGCGUUGUCCGGAAUUAUUGGGCGUAAAGAGCUCGUAGGCGGUUUGUUGCGUCGGCUGUGAAAUCCCGAGGCUCAACCUCGGGUCUGCAGUCGAUACGAGCAAACUAGAGUGUUGCAGGGGAGACUGGAAUUCCUGGUGUAGCGGUGAAAUGCGCAGAUAGUCAGGAGGAACACCGGUGGCGAAGGCGGGUCUCUGGG